rnacentral:rRNA from 1 species
GACGAACGCUGGCGGCGUGCCUAAUACAUGCAAGUCGAGCGAAUCUGAGGGAGCUUGCUCCCAAAGAUUAGCGGCGGACGGGUGAGUAACACGUGGGCAACCUGCCUAUAAGACUGGGAUAACUUCGGGAAACCGGAGCUAAUAUCGGAUAAUUCUUUUAUACACAUGUAGGAAAGCUGAAAGAAGGUUUACGAUGUCACUUAUAGAUGGGCCCGCGGCGCAUUAGCUAGUUGGUGAGGUAACGGCUCACCAAGGCGACGAUGCGUAGCCGACCUGAUAGGGUAAUCGGCAACACUGGGACUGAGACGCGGCCCAGACUCCUACGGGAGGCAGCAGUAGGGAAUCUUCCGCAAUGGACGAAAGUCUGACGGAGCAACGCCGCGUGAGUGAAGAAGGUUUUCGGAUCGUAAAGCUCUGUUGUUAGGGAAGAACAAGUACGAGAGUAACUGCUCGUACCUUGACGGUACCUAACCAGAAAGCCACGGCUAACUACGUGCCAGCCGCCGCGGUAACAC